rnacentral:rRNA from 1 species
GAUUGAACGCUGGCGGCAUGCUUUACACAUGCAAGUCGAACGGCAGCACGGGGGCAACCCUGGUGGCGAGUGGCGAACGGGUGAGUAAUGCAUCGGAACGUGUCCUGUAAUGGGGGAUAACCUAUCGAAAGGUAGGCUAAUACCGCAUACGUCCUGAGGGAGAAAGCGGGGGCUCGCAAGACCUCGUGUUAUAGGAGCGGCCGAUGUCGGAUUAGCUAGUUGGUGGGGUAAAGGCCUACCAAGGCGACGAUCCGUAGCGGGUCUGAGAGGACGGCCCGCCACACUGGGACUGAGACACGGCCCAGACUCCUACGGGAGGCAGCAGUGGGGAAUUUUGGACAAUGGGGGCAACCCUGAUCCAGCCAUGCCGCGUGAGUGAAGAAGGCCUUCGGGUUGUAAAGCUCUUUCGGCCAGGAAGAAAUCGCGCCAGCUAAUACCUGGUGUGGAUGACGGUACCGGAAGAAGAAGCACCGGCUAACUACGUGCCAGCAGCCGCGGUAAUACGUAGGGUGCGAGCGUUAAUCGGAAUUACUGGGCGUAAAGCGUGCGCAGGCGGUUUUGUAAGACAGGUGUGAAAUCCCCGGGCUUAACCUGGGAACUGCGCUUGUGACUGCAAGACUUGAGUGCGGCAGAGGGGGGUGGAAUUCCACGUGUAGCAGUGAAAUGCGUAGAGAUGUGGAGGAACACCGAUGGCGAAGGCAGCCCCCUGGGUCGACACUGACGCUCAUGCACGAAAGCGUGGGGAGCAAACAGGAUUAGAUACCCUGUAGUCCACGCCCUAAACGAUGCGAACUAGUGUUGGGGAAGGAGACUUCUUUAGUACCGUAGCUAACGCGUGAAGUUCGCCGCCUGGGGAGUACGGUCGCAAGAUUAAAACUCAAAGGAAUUGACGGGGACCCGCACAAGCGGUGGAUGAUGCGGAUUAAUUCGAUGCACGCGAAAAACCUUACCUACCCUUGACAUGUCCGGAAUCCUGUGAGAGCUGGGGUUGCCCGAAAGGGACCGGAACACAGGUGCUGCAUGGCUGUCGUCAGCUC